rnacentral:lncRNA from 1 species
AUAAGGACCACUUCAACACAAAAUAAGGACCGACUUUGGAGGUGUGUGUGUGUGUGUGUGUGUGUGUUGAAGUUGGUGAUGGUUUCUGGGAACAGGAAUAGGAAGAUUUAAUAAUUCACAUCAUUGUUGAACUAUUGAUUCUGAUUGGCUGACACACAUUCCAGAGGUGUCAAGUAAUAUAAGCAGCUUGUACUGCCUUUUUUUUUAAUACGCUUAAUUAUGGUGUAAGUUUGAACUGAUAGUUUAAUUCAGAUGAAGUCAUUAUUAACCCUGAGUUCACCAAACAACAUAAUCUAUUUAUAUUUUUUCAUCAUUACACAUUUAAAAAACAGUUUAUUAUAUUUGUAAUUUUUCAAUAAUAGCUGGAAUUUUUUAGCUAUGUAACUCCCUGACAGCUUUGAACUUCAUUAACACCUUAGCUAAAAAUGCUAACUGAGAUAGAUAAUGUGGUGAUAUUUUUAUAUCAGCAGAAUUCACAGAGUAACAAUGUUCAAAAUAUCACAAAAAAAUGUCUGCAAGCUUGCAAGAUACAGCAAGUGAUGGUUCCAUCACAAGCCCCAGGCCAUCGGACCAUCCUUACUGUAGAGGCAGUGCAGUUUUUAUGACCAGGACUCAAUAGAACAAUAUUGCAGCAACCAGAUAGAUAAUGUGGUGAUAUUUUAUAUCAGCAGAAUUCACAGAGUAACAAUAGUUCAAAAUAAUACACAAAAAAAUAGUACUGCAAGCUUGCAAGAUACAGCAAGUGAUGGUUCCAUCACAAGCCCCAGGCCAUCGGACCAUCCUUACUGUAGAGGCAGUGCAGUUUUUAUGACCAGGACUCAAUAGAACAAUAUUGCAGCAACCAGCUUUCUGACAUUGAUAACUCAACUAGCGUUUGAUGACUGAAGAAAGAGAUGGGGAGAGAGCAGUAGUGGGCAGCCAGGGGCGCUUGCACAGACUGACACAGCAAACAGAAUAUCACAUCUGUUUACAUCUCUCUCUCUCUCUCUCUCCCUCUCUCUCUUUGACUUCCUUAGUUGCACUUUUAGUUGCAGAACUUGUCAAAGCCUGUAAAUCCUCUCCUUCAGGAAAUAAAAAAAGAAUAAGAUUUACAAUUUUAACCCUGAAAGCCCAGGGCUGUCAAUGCCUGUGAGUUCUUCAUACAACCAGUGUGUUUUCCAGAGUUACAUACAGAUGCAGAAAGACAUACUGACAGUUAUACAGACACGUGCAGAUUCUGUCGGGAAAAAAGUCCUGGAUCCCACACAUUCUCAGUUAUUCCGCAUGGCCCCAACGGGAGAACCAGAAAAACUGAGUGGAAGUACAAAGGAAUCUCAAUGCAGUGUAAAACUGAGUAGGGCACGUUAGAAAGUGUAUUAGGUUCAGAAAUGUGACUCUGUAUGAUUUGUCUGCAUUUGUCAGCAGGUGAUUUAUUUUUAUUUUAUAUUUAAUUUUAUUUUCCACUUUUUAAAGUAAUAAAUAAUUGAUACAUAAAUGUAAAAAAAAAAUAAUAAUAAUUUAAUCAACCUUUCAAGAACUCCCACACUACAAGUUAGUCUUUUUUUAUCUUUAUCUUAUGUCUGC